UUCUCUGCUUUCUGCUGGAUUUUGCUGUUUUCUCUAGGGCUCUGUUUAAUGGUGCUGUGCGGGAGAGUGAUUUCUGCACUAUCUUUCUGGAAUUGGGAGGGGCACAGAAGCAGGAAAAGUGAAUUCCAGGAAAGUUGUUGCAUGUUAGAAGCUGUGUUGUGGUGAAGUGACAAGUUGCUUGCUCUCUGAACGGGGAUGGGAUCCUUUGUGGAGGCAUGAAUCACCAACAGGUAGGAUUAGAUGGAUGAUGGUUGUAUUUGGAAUUCUAGCCACACCCUUCGGACUGCAGCCCUGUGAAGCCUGAGGGUCUGACGAAAGUCAAGAAAAAUCUGCAUUGCAACUCUUCAAAGAGAAGAACGUGGCAUCUUGGUUUUUAAGGAGCAACUGGACAACCACGGAUCCUGGACAACCACGAAUCCAGGCCAACCCCAUCAUUUUGCAGAUGAAGCAACAGAAGCCCACAGGGAUGAAGGGACCAGCUCAGAGCCUCCAGCAGUCACUGGCCAGGCCAGGAGAAUAAUUCUGGUCUCCUGACUUCCAAAGAAGUGUUCUUUCCACAGUAUAUGCAUAAGAUACAGUUACAACGGAAACUACUUUUUUUCUUAUCCCAUUAGCCGGAAAAGUUCAUCUGAGAAACAGGUGACUGAUGGGAAAGUUUGCCUACUGGAGGCAUGAGGAAAUCAAGUGACUUCAUCGUAAUUAGACAAUAGUUCUUUUCUUUGACUGAGAGGAGAGUGAAAAGUGCAAGGAGAAUCGAGACAAAGAAUGAUUGCCUAGAAGUUACUCCAUUAUGGUUUGCUGCAGUGUGCUAUCCGGAAAGAUACUUGCCUGCCGCUCCUUGCCUGUGUGACUGUGAGUGAGUCACUUGACUUCUCUGGGACUGGGAAGCUCUUAUGCUCUCUGAGAGCACAGCAGAGGCUCUGUUCUGGCCAUUGGACAUCAUGAUGAUCUGUUGUCCUCCCCAGGUAGACACACCCCAGAUCAGCACCUUCUUUUCUUCCUUGUCUCAGUACUUCUUAUAGAGCCAGGAUAUCCUUAAUGUUAUGUGGGGUUUUUUUGAGGGGAGUGUGGGGCGGGUAGGCAUUUUGUGCACUGAAUAAUUGUCUUCCCAACUGGAUAUUGUUUGGGGACUUUGACUGUGUCUUUUUGCUUCUUUUAACAUGUUUCUUGCUGGGUCUCGUCUCACUUACAAGGCAGAAAUCCAGACCCCUGCAAUGAGGAAUGAGAUCUGGUAUUUCCAAAAGCCCUGGAUGGUCUUAUAUGUGCUCCCAUACAAUUAGUUCAGCCAUCCUUGUCUCUUAUCACUGUUCUAGAACUCUCUACGCAGACCAUGACAUCUUCCUGGCAUCACUGAUACUUCCACUGGGCACUGCUAUGCCCUCUUGUCACUCCCUUACCUGCUGCAGAAAUCCCCAGGUGACUGGAUAUCUAGAUAGGAUUGUGACUGCACUAGAAAAGGACUAAACAUCACCCAGAGCUGGACACACUGACCAUGAAACACGGAGUCUUUCCUCCUGCAGGGAAGGGACAGAUAUUUUCAUUUGUAGAAGGGCUAGUUGUAUAAGUUACGGAGCUUCCUUGAGAAAUGGUGUAGUAGAAGACCUGAAAUUAAGAUUCAAUAGCAUGGGAAGGCCUCAAAUGGCCUAAUCUCAAGUCCCCUGCCCAGUCUGCUGUGGCAGAUAAGUUCCCCCUAACCAAACAGCCCUCCUUGUCAUAGAGACCGGGUCCAGUGUCUGCUUAUCCCUGAGCGGUGGGCUUCAGGCCCCUGCCAGCACACGGAAAUAUUCAAACAAGCCACAUGCAUCCUCUCAUGGGAACCAGGCCUCAUCUCACCCUCUUUUAUUGCAAAGCCUGCCUCCCACAGACCCUGUUUGUUCACUGUGUUCCCAAAUAGAAUCCCCAUAUGGCCCUGUAUGGUAUGCACUGUCCUCCUCCCCUGGACUGUGAGUGUAUAUGACUAAUA